UUCUAAUUUCAUUCUUUGUGAGGUUGCAUCUGGAAUCGAUGCCAAGAAACUGAAGGAGGACCUUGCAAAAAUGGGUGUAAUGAUCCGCCAUUACAACAAGAAGGAAUUGAAGGGUUAUGUGCGUGUAUCUGUUGGGAAGCCAGAACAUACAGAUGCCUUGAUGAAGUGCCUUACACGCCUGUCUUAAUACUUUUAACUGUGCAGGUGCAUCCUUUUAUUGAGCAGAUUUCAAAUUUGAAAUUGCGACUUCUAUACUGAAUCUACAUUUUUAAACCACAAUAUUUAUUUGAUUGUGGAAAGUGAACGAUACCUUCUUUUUCUCGUUGAAGCUGAAUGACACGUUUUUGUCUAGACAUAACAACAGAGGCUCAAUUAUCUUCAGAUAAUAAAAUCCUAUUUAUAUGCUUGCUUUC